CUACGGGAGGCUGCAGUAAGGAAUAUUGCGCAAUGGAGGCAACUCUGACGCAGCCAUGCCGCGUGCAGGAAGAAGGCCUUAUGGGUCGUAAACUGCUUUUAUUUAGGAAUAAACCCCCGAACGUGUUCGGGGCUGAAGGUACUAAACGAAUAAGCACCGGCUAACUCCGUGCCAGCAGCCGCGGUAAUACGGAGGGUGCAAGCGUUAUCCGGAGUUAUUGGGUUUAAAGGGUGCGCAGGCGGGCUAUUAAGUCAGUGGUGAAAUCCCGGGGCUCAACUCCGGAACUGCCAUUGAUACUGAUAGUCUUGAGUUUGGUUGAAGUGGGCGGAAUGUAGCAUGUAGCGGUGAAAUGCAUAGAUAUGCUACAGAACACCAAUCGCGAAGGCAGCUCACUAAGCCAAAACUGACGCUCAUGCACGAAAGCGUGGGGAUCAAACAGGAUUAGAUACCCCCGUAGUC
rnacentral:rRNA from 1 species